CACGUAGGGUGCGAGCGUUGUCCGGAAUUAUUGGGCGUAAAGAGCUCGUAGGCGGUGUGUCGCGUCGGCCGUGAAAACCUGGGGCUUAACUCUGGGCUUGCGGUCGAUACGGGCAUCACUUGAGUUCGGCAGGGGAGACUGGAAUUCCUGGUGUAGCGGUGAAAUGCGCAGAUAUCAGGAGGAACACCGGUGGCGAAGGCGGGUCUCUGGGCCGAUACUGACACUGAGGAGCGAAAGCGUGGGGAGCGAACAGG
rnacentral:rRNA from 1 species